CUCCGCUGAGCGACUUCCGGCGGUCUUCGGGCCGACUCCUUCGUGGACUGCGCGCCGGACACCAUGACCAAAAACCAGGAUCCUGGAACUGGAUUAGUAAAACCCACAUCGAGUUCCCUUUUUCUGUCCCGACUGGCCGGGGCACCUAUGUGCCUCUUUUUUUUUUUUUGGUCUGUCAGCUCUCGCCGGAAGUUGCUAGGAGAUGGGACCGGAAGUCCCGCCCCUCCGCAAGAGAGGAAAACGGAAAGCCGAAGAAGUCAAUCUAAAGAAGGGGAGAUGCGUCCGGCUGGAAGUGUCUGAGCCGGAGGGCCAAGUGGCGUUUGGGGAGAGUCCCCAAGCGGAUUCCUCUGGACAUUCCGCCCCUUCCGUGUCCCAUGCCUCGUCACCCCACCCCCGUCCCCCGCCCGCCCGCCGUAGAGGACCCCCGGGGGCGGCGCGUGAGCGCAGCGGGCAGCGCGGGGCGAGCGGCCGCUGCCCUGGGCCUUCCGGGCCCCCAACGGUGCCCGGCGCUUCUAGGCGCCCGUCUACGGGGACACGGUUUCUCUGCUGGGCCAGGCGCGUGCGCAACCCUAGAUGUUGAGGACAAUCUGUCGGUGGACUCCAAGAAAGGAUCCUCGGAGUCACGGGCCGCAGGGAGCCACGAGCCGAGUUCCGAUACUAAAGGGGAGGCAGAGCACCGAGUGUGGUGGCCGGCCAGUUUGGCAAUAAAAGCCGAAAACGCCCUAGGUGUUUAAAAAGCCCCCGCCGGACCGUUUUUAUUAACGGUAGCGACGCAGCGCAAGAAUUGUUAGGAAGAAAGUAAGGCACGACCGAAGCGUGGUCGUCCCCGCCGCCGCCUGCCUCUCUUGCGGGAGCAUCCGCGGACCUGAAGCUUACAGCCCUUCCCCGGAAACUCCAGAUCCAGGAAGGAAGACCGCGGCUUGCAAAGUGCUCUGAGGGACACCUAUAUAGAGAUGAGCGGCGACAUCCCACUUGCGAUCAGCUUGAGACAUCGCUUGCUCAGCAGUUUUGACUUUAUCUUGUGCACAGAUGUUGAAGAGAGAGCAAGGAGGCCUUCACUGACGGGGCAGGAAGAAAGAAGAGGCUGCAGGAGGGGCAGUCGGUUGGCAUCAAUUGCAGCAAAGGUAAAGAGGCUUGGAACCUAAAAAGUACUCAUUUUCGCACAAGGAAUCCCAGAUGGCAUAAGCAUAUGAAUAUUGAUCAUUUCCAUUUCAGCACUUUUGAAGAAGCAGGAAAAAUAAAUGAAGGGGAAGCAAGAGGUUAAUGCGGUAUCAUGCUUUAGUAACUCCUCUAAAAAUGAGCCCACAGGGAAAUUACAGUAGGCAGUGCUGGAGACCAACGUGUUUGUCAAUAAGAUAAAGGGCACAAGUGGUAAAAGCAGGGGUGAUGUAGGAUGGACAGUCACCGGAUGGGAUGACUGUGUGUCAAGCACUUAGAGGCCUAGAGCACAAACUGCAGUGAUUACACCAAUCAAAUUGCAAGCGGAGAAUCUCAUCAGAGACUUGUCCUCAUCCUGAAGGGUACCGUGAGUCCAGGCCUGGGGCAGCCGCAGCAGGACUCAGGGAAGUCAGGUUGUUGAAGGUGGCUGUGGCUUUAGAAAGGUGUGCACGGUGACACAAAACCACGUCUGAUGUCUGCGCCUUGGAAAUAUUUUAUUACUGGUCCAGAUGUCCAAGGGAAAACAUUAUUUUGGGGACCAAAUUCCUCUGAAUAGUUAGAUUUUGUUCCUGCCCAGGGUUGUGUGAAAGGGGAUCUGUCAGUAGGUCAGGCCUAGGCUGGAAGAUUCCUACCAUGAUUAAUGCAGCUUAGCCAUCUCUAGGAAAAAGGCAGCAAAUAAUUUGGAUCCCUCUAUGUAAUUCCACCUAACAAAAGAAAUAGAGACACUGUUAUUCCCAUUCAGAUGACAGAGGGAAAGUAGUCUACAGUUUAAACAGGAAGACUUGAUGACAGAAAUUGCAUCUGAAGUAUGCAGCCUGUCUGGAGGUUACCGGUGUGAGGACCCAGGCUUGUGCAGUGAGGGGUGAGCGCCUACAGGACUCACUAACCUGUUGAUUUUCUCUUUCUGAGAGUGCUCUCCAUCAUCCACAGCGCCCAGCGGGAGCAUCAUCACACUCUUCUGGAUGGUAUCCUGGAAUAUUUUGGCAAUGGGUAUGGUUGAUCCAUCUCGGAUCAUGUCUGGCUCUGUCCCAAACACUGAAUGAAACACAGGAAAAGAAGGCAUUUGAAUAAAAUAAUGACAAGACUACCCCCAGUAAUCUCAAAGCAUGCGGGAUCUUAGUUCCCCAACCAGGGAUCAAACCUGAGGCCCCUG